AAAACUAUACUUUCAGGGAUCGUUUGUAUAAUUCGUUACUAGAGGAGUUUCUCUGAAUGUGUAGAACACCGGAAACUACGAGGAAGAAGCGUAGUGUUCUUUUCUGAGCGUGAAAGCGGCGUGUUGGUGUUGUUUUCGUUGCAAGUAGUAUUUGCCAUUAAUGAUCGUUCUUACUGUUCUGUUUGGAGAGUAAGAAAGAGAGAACACGGUCUGAGUGGG